rnacentral:lncRNA from 1 species
UUGAAAUUCCCGACACCGAAUGGGAUCAAGCAGAUUAGGGGUGAUCAAUAUGCUGCAAGGGAGAUCAGUGUUGCCACUUUGUCCAACAGUAGGCUGAGGGAAUCAAUAAAUUACAACUAUAGAAAUCAGUGUCAACUUCCUUUCAAUCACGACAUGAGACGAUAAUGAGGAAAAGACGUAAGAUAUUUACCAGGUACCGGAAGAAAAAGGCGCAAAAAAAGAGCUCGAA